GAUGAACGCUGGCGGCGUGCCUAAUACAUGCAAGUCGAGCGAACGGACGAGAAGCUUGCUUCUCUGAUGUUAGCGGCGGACGGGUGAGUAACACGUGGAUAACCUACCUAUAAGACUGGGAUAACUUCGGGAAACCGGAGCUAAUACCGGAUAAUAUUUUGAACCGCAUGGUUCAAAAGUGAAAGACGGUUUUGCUGUCACUUAGAGAUGGAGCCGCGCUGCAUUAGCUAGUUGGUAAGGUAACGGCUUACCAAGGCAACGAUGCAUAGCCGACCUGAGAGGGUGAUCGGCCACACUGGAACUGAGACACGGUCCAGACUCCUACGGGAGGCAGCAGUAGGGAAUCUUCCGCAAUGGGCGAAAGCCUGACGGAGCAACGCCGCGUGAGUGAUGAAGGUCUUCGGAUCGUAAAGCUCUGUUAUUAGGGAAGAACAUAUGUGUAAGUAACUGUGCACAUCUUGACGGUACCUAAUCAGAAAGCCACGGCUAACUACGUG
rnacentral:rRNA from 1 species